rnacentral:lncRNA from 1 species
AAUUAACUCCAAGAGACUAAUCCAUACCAAGGCACUAUGUGUGUGUGUGCCACCCAAGAAAGAGAUCAAGCUUCUCCAUCAACCUUCUAACUUACCUUCCUUCCAUAAAGACACUGAUAGAAGAUCACACCCACUGACCACACAUCAACUUUAUUUGAGAUCUUUGGUGGUUCUUUCCCAACCACAAAACACUCUGGUGGUAAAUACCUGGUUUGAGGUCAUAGUGUAUGAUGGGAGGUUUUAUUUCAUUUAAGUACUUUAAAGCAUUCACAAUCUGCAUGAUAAUGGACCGGGCCUCUUUCUCCGACAUUAAUUUGUGCUGUUUCAGGUAGAAGUCCAGAUCAUUUCCCUCACAGUAUUCUAAUACUGUACAAAAC